rnacentral:tRNA from 1 species
GGGGAGAUGCCCGAGUGGUUCAAGGGGCCGGUCUGUAAAAUCGGUGCGCUCGUGCGCGUCGGGGGUUCGAAUCCCUCUCUCCCCACCG